rnacentral:rRNA from 2 species
AGCAUAGCGAUUUGGGAUAAGUCCCUUGGAAAAGGGCAGCAUGGAGGGUGAUACUCCCGUCUCUGCUCAGAUUGUCUGUGUGUACGAUACGCUUUCUUUGAGUCGAGUUGUUUGGGAAUACAGCUCAAAGUAGGUGGUAAAUUCCAUCUAAAGCUAAAUAUUGGUGCGAGACCGAUAGCGAACAAGUCCCGUGAGGGAAAGAUGAAAAGAACUUUGAAAAGAGAGUUAAAGAGUACCUGAAACUGUUGAAAGGGAACCGUAUCGUUUCCAGUGUUGUAUCCUGUGCAUAUUUCAUUAGCGGAGUAAUUUGCUGGUGCCCUGUGCAUGGGUGUGACGUCAGAGUCAGUUUGUAUGCUGCGGGAGAUGGUCAGUAAGGAGGUGCGUCACUUCGGUGAAAGUUAUAUCUUACUGUCUAGUAGCCGUGGUUGAGACUGAGGUGCC